AUUGAACGCUGGCGGCAUGCCUUACACAUGCAAGUCGAACGGCAGCACGGGAGCAAUCCUGGUGGCGAGUGGCGAACGGGUGAGUAAAGUAUCGGAACGUGCCCAGUCGUGGGGGAUAACGUAGCGAAAGUUACGCUAAUACCGCAUACGAUCUAUGGAUGAAAGCGGGGGAUCGCAAGACCUCGCGCGAUUGGAGCGGCCGAUAUCAGAUUAGGUAGUUGGUGGGGUAAAGGCUCACCAAGCCGACGAUCUGUAGCUGGUCUGAGAGGACGACCAGCCACACUGGGACUGAGACACGGCCCAGACUCCUACGGGAGGCAGCAGUGGGGAAUUUUGGACAAUGGGCGAAAGCCUGAUCCAGCCAUGCCGCGUGCAGGAAGAAGGCCUUCGGGUUGUAAACUGCUUUUGUCGGGGAAGAAACGCUCUGGGCUAAUACCCUGGGGUAAUGACGGUACCCGAAGAAUAAGCACCGGCUAACUACGUGCCAGCAGCCGCGGUAA
rnacentral:rRNA from 1 species